AUGAACGCUGGCGGCGUGCUUAACACAUGCAAGUCGAACGGUGAAGCGCCUUCCUUUUUGGUGGGUGUGGAUGAGUGGCGAACGGGUGAGUAACACGUGAGUAACCUGCCCCCUUCUUCUGGAUAACCGCAUGAAAGUGUGGCUAAUACGGGAUAUUCUGGGUCUGUCGCAUGAUGGGUCUGGGAAAGAUAUUGUUUCGGUGGGGGAUGGGCUCGCGGCCUAUCAGCUUGUUGGUGGGGUGAUGGCCUACCAAGGCGGUGACGGGUAGCCGGCCUGAGAGGGUGGACGGUCACACUGGGACUGAGACACGGCCCAGACUCCUACGGGAGGCAGCAGUGGGGAAUAUUGCACAAUGGGCGCAAGCCUGAUGCAGCGACGCCGCGUGAGGGAUGGAGGCCUUCGGGUUGUGAACCUCUUUCGCCAGUGAAGCAGGCCUGCCUCGUUUGUGGGUGGGUUGACGGUAGCUGGAUAAGAAGCGCCGGCUAACUACGUG
rnacentral:rRNA from 1 species